GUUAAUCAGGCAUGGAUAAGAAUAGGACUUUCGGUCUAUUCUGUUGGGCUUGGUCGAAGUAAUGAUUAAUAGGGACCGACGGGGGCAUUAGUAUUUCUGCGCUAGAGUGAAAUUCUGGGCCGUGGUAGGACUAACAACAGCGAAAGCAUUUGCCAAGAAUGUUUUCAUUAAUCAAGAACGAAAGUUAGAGGUUCGAAGGCGAUCAGAUACCGCCCUAGUUCUAACCAUAAACGAUGCUGACCAGCGAUCAGUCUGAGUACUAUCAAGGACUCGACUGGAAGCUUCCUCGGGAAACCAAAGUUUUUGGGUUCCAGGGGAAGUAUGGUUGCAAAACUGAAACUUAAAGGAAUUGACGGAAGGGCACCACCAGGAGUGGAGCCUGCGGCUUAAUUUGACUCAACACGGGAAAACUCACCCGGUCCGGACACUUUAAGGAUUGACAGAUUGAUAGCUCUUUCUUGAUACAGUGGGUGGUGGUGCAUGGCCGUUCUUAGUUGGUGGAUCGAUUUGUCUGGUUAAUUCCGAUAACGAACGAGACUCCAACUUACUAACUAGUUAAACAUUUCCUUCGGGCGAUGUUAAACUUCUUAGAGGGACAGGAGGCGAUUCAGCCUCACGAGAAGGAGCAAUAACAGGUCUGUGAUGCCCUUAGAUGUCCGGGGCCGCACGCGCGCUACACUCCUGCCAGUAGUCAUAUGCAUGAGUCAAAGAUUAAGCCAUGCAGGCCUCAGUAGAAACCUCUUCGUAAUUGGGAUUGGUUAUUGUAACCAUGCCCGUAAUCAUAGAAUUGACUCAAAGUCAAAGUCAGUACCUAGCGUUGAUUAAGUCCCUGCCCUUUGUACACACCGCCCGUCGCUACUACCGAUUGAAUGAUUUAGUGAGGUCUUCAGAUUGGAUGGUGCAGUUCUCAUUCGAGAGCAGCAUUAUCUGAGAAGAUGACCCAAAACUGGAUCCAUAUGGGAAGGUUUUYSUGCCGGGAUAAUCAGGCAUGGAUAAGAAUAGGACUUUCGGUCUAUUCUGUUGGGCUUGGAUCGAAGUAAUGAUUAAUAGGGACCGACGGGGGCAUUAGUUUUCGGCGCUAGAGUGAAAUUCUGGACCGUGGUAUGACUAACAACAGCGAAAGCAUUUGCCAAGAAUGUUUUCAUUAAUCAAGAACGAAAGUUAGAGGUUCGAAGGCGAUCAGAUACCGCCCUAGUUCUAACCAUAAACGAUGCUGACCAGCGAUCAGUCUGAGUACUAUCAAGGACUCGACUGGAAGCUUCCUCGGGGAAACCAAAGUUUUUGGGUUCCAGGGGAAGUAUGGUUGCAAAACUGAAACUUAAAGGAAUUGACGGAAGGGCACCACCAGGAGUGGAGCCUGCGGCUUAAUUUGACUCAACACGGGAAAACUCACCCGGUCCGGACACUUUAAGGAUUGACAGAUUGAUAGCUCUUUCUUGAUACAGUGGGUGGUGGUGCAUGGCCGUUCUUAGUUGGUGGAUCGAUUUGUCUGGUUAAUUCCGAUAACGAACGAGACUCCAACUUACUAACUAGUUAAACAUUUCCUUCGGGCGAUGUUAAACUUCUUAGAGGGACAGGAGGCGAUUCAGCCUCACGAGAAGGAGCAAUAACAGGUCUGUGAUGCCCUUAGAUGUCCGGGGCCGCACGCGCGCUACACUCCUGCCAGUAGUCAUAUGCUUGAGUCAAAGAUUAAGCCAUGCAUGCCUCUGUAGAAACCUCUUCGUAAUUGGGAUUGGUUAUUGUAACCAUACCCGUAAUCAUAGAAUUGACUCAAAGUCAAAGUCAGUACCUAGCGUUGAUUAAGUCCCUGCCCUUUGUACACACCGCCCGUCGCUACUACCGAUUGAAUGAUUUAGUGAGGUCUUCAGAUUGGAUGGUGCAGUUCUCAUUCGAGAGCAGCAUUAUCUGAGAAGAUGACCCAAACCUGGAUCAAUAAGAUUUGU
rnacentral:rRNA from 1 species